rnacentral:rRNA from 1 species
GAUGAACGCUGGCGGCGUGCCUAAUACAUGCAAGUCGAGCGAACAGACGAGGAGCUUGCUCCUUCGACGUUAGCGGCGGACGGGUGAGUAACACGUAGGUAACCUACCUAUAAGACUGGGAUAACUUCGGGAAACCGGAGCUAAUACCGGAUAAUAUUUCGAACCGCAUGGUUCGAUAGUGAAAGAUGGCUUUGCUAUCACUUAUAGAUGGACCUGCGCCGUAUUAGCUAGUUGGUAAGGUAACGGCUUACCAAGGCAACGAUACGUAGCCGACCUGAGAGGGUGCUCGGCCACACUGGAACUGAGACACGGUCCAGACUCCUAAGGGAGGCAGCAGUAGGGAAUCGUCCGCAAUGGGCGAAAGCCUGACGGAGCAACGCCGCGUGAGUGAUGAAGGUCUUCGGAUCGUAAAACUCUGUUAUUAGGGAAGAACAAACGUGUAAGUAACUGUGCACGUCUUGACGGUACCUAAUCAGAAAGCCACGGCUAACUACGUG